AUGUCUCUGUCUGCAUGUAAGAAAAGCCAGAGGGACAGACACUGCUGUUGGCAUCCUGUUAAGCACAGGCAAGGACUGUAUCGCUUUCACUAGUGACCUUUCAGCUUCCAAAAUCUUGGCUGUAACUUGCUAAAAUACACUUUGCCUUCACUAUCACACCUGUCCAAGUGGAGGUGGGCGGGAAGGAACUGAACUGGAGCUGGCUGAGCACACCUUGAGCAUGCUGCUUCCCUGGAGGUGCCAAGCUGAAGCCAAGCAGCAUGGCCAGGCCAUCCUGGGCCCUGCAGCGAGCCCUCUGCAUCAGAAGUUGCUGCCUGGAUGCUGCUCUCAGGAGGGACCUCUCAGUCCCCACAGCCCAGCAGACCCUGGAAUGACUCCUCUCCCAGCUCCAGUUAAGUCCUGAAGGGCUCUGCUGAGCGAAGCACAGCCGCUGGCCGAAGCACAGCCACCCAGCCUGCGUGGAGCCGCGGGACGCUGGAGGUCCUCGCAGCCUGAUGGCCAACGACGACCUCUGCAAGCCAGCGAGUGCAAGAUGUCUCAGCCUUGGGACUUCAGCGAUUCCACAGCUUCAGGUUCACCAGCUCAGCCGCAGAAGUUUUAAGCUACUUAAUUACUUUUUCUAUGGUGCUUCAAAUGUAUAAAGUGCUUAUAGAAGUACGAAAUGGCACUUUUACCACCAGGAGACUGUUUAUCUAUUUUUAUUUCCUUUCAAGUUAGAGGAGGCGAGUGGAAGAAAAUAUGAACUUGCUUUCUCCGAGAAAACAAACUGACCUUUGAGUGUUAUGAAAGCCUUUAUACAAUAAUUUGGGCAAAGAGAACUGGAAUUUCUCCUGUGAAGCGUAUUUUUCCUUAAAAAAUGCCAGUUUGCUAAAACCAGAACGGUUUGCAGAAAGGCUUGGUUUCGUGAAUCUGUCCAUUUGAUAGUUGGUUAGAAAAGUUUUGGAACUGCUGAAAUGCUGAGUUUGUCAGCAUAACUCUUCAAAUAUGAAGUUUCUCUACAGUUAGAGUUAAAAAAAAUAGAACCAGAAAUUUAAAAAUAGAAAAAAUAUAUAAUAAUUAAAAAAAUAGAAUUUAAAUAAAAAAGAAGCUUUUUUGCAUUAUUUAAAACCAAAAUGUUUAAACUGACCUAAUCCAAAACACACUGUGGUCAUCAGUUCACAACAGCUUUGAAAUUCAUAUUUCUGGGGACUGGAAAGUUUACCCCAUCCCAGGAGGAGACUGGUAAGCAGCCCUGGCAGGAAAGUUGCAGGGUAUCUCUUCUGAAACGGGCUCAAAUAAAUCCCUGACCCGUGGCUGUGACCAUGGUCAUGCAACACAUGAACUCUGCGUUUGGACAGGCUAGCAUGCAGCCGUUACCUCCUCUCAAGAGCUGCACACAAAAUAAAUAUAUCCAGUACCGUGAUGCAAAAAUAAUGUUGGUUAGAAAUCCAGAAGCCCCUUCUGCCUCAUGACUGUUUUCUCCCAGCAGCUCAGAGGUGGGACACAGCCACCGCAUGGUUUGCCUGAACCUGCACGUGGUGCGGGGAGGGCUGGGCUGAUGUUGGGUUGCCCUUAUUCGUACUUGUUUUACUGAUCUGCCCCUAUUUGAGGGGUUUGUUUUCAGUUUUCAGAAUAGCACAGGUUCAAAGCAACAGGUGAAGCAUUUCUGGCUCUCUCGCUCUUCACCAAAGGCAGUGCAAGACGUCUAAUGAAAAAAAGAACAAAUAUUAAGCUAAAGGCACAUGUUGGUCUUACUAACCAACACUUACUAACCUUAGAAGGCUUAUUACUGUUUUGCUGUUGCUAUUUGCCCCAAAAAGGAAGUAUUCUGGGCUGGAACUACUGUGAGGCAUGUUUAGAGCAAGAUAAAAGUCCAGUCAAGAUCCUGCCCUCUGUUAAAGGUAUUUUUGUCCAGGAAACAUAUUGGGAAUAACUGGCGGGUGGGGGAAACCAAAGGAAAUAAUUAAAAAUAGGUGAGUAAACUGUCUUUCUUUGCCCCCGCUUUUUUUUCCCCUGCUUUCCGCAACAGAGAAAGCACACAAAACCAAUUACAUUCAUUCUAAUUUUGGAAAAAGUGGGUUAUUUAAGGCCAAAACCAAAAAGGAAGACUUCACCCUGGAAUAACACUCUCCAGAGCCUGCACUGGCAAGGUACUAAUGCACUUCCCAGCUGGGUGAAAUGAUGCUGCCUUUGGCCUUAAGCCCCAUGGCACACCAAAGGCAUGAAACUGUGCCUCAUUGCAGGUAUCUUUUAUUGUGGCUUAGGGCCAAAAAAGCAACAAUAAUGACUUAUAUUUGCACAGCACAUUUCAUAAUCCACUGGGGUUGCAACCAAGUGGAUUGCGUGUAGCUGUGCCCUUCUCAUUCAAAUUCCUAAGUACCAAAUUAAUGUCCUGGUUUGUGGUUGUUAGAGAAGACACUAAGUGGCCUGCCUUUCCUCCUCAUUCCUUGAUAAUGCAUCCUGCUGCAAGUCCUCCUGAGAGCUGCUGCUGUUGAUUUUUAACCUCCUAGGGCUGAAACAACAUUUUAACACCAGGAAGUGUAUAAUCAGUGCAAACCUGCCCUUGCUCAGGUCCCCAGCUGGAGCAAGAGAUGUAUCUGUUUGAAACCCAGAAAGACAAAACCAUUCACUCUCAGAUGAUCACCUCUGAACUGCUCUCCCUGGCAGCUGGGCAUAAGGCUCCUUCAUGUGGAAUUAAUGCCUGCUCUUCAAUAAAUCACCCAUCGCUUAUUUUUUUGCCUCCUUGCUGCUUAGCCUAACAUUUUCCUGAAUAGCCAGGAAUAAAGUGGCAUUGUGGGCUUUUUUAAGUUCACAGAGUUGCGUGUGAUUAACAAUAGCCAAGAAUCAAAAGCAUUAUGCUUAAACAUGUCUAAUAAAUAUAAUGGAGAGAGAGAGAAGUCUGAAGGCUUUUCUACAUCUGAAACAGAUAAUUCAAGCGUCAUAAAAAAUUCACUGCCACAAAAAAUGUAAGUCCCUGGAGCUUUUGGAGUAAAUCCAGUCUGAAUCCAAAGAGCAUCAACAAGGGAUGCCUUUAAUAAAAGUUUAAUUAAUCAAUCAUUGGA